rnacentral:rRNA from 1 species
CGGUACNUANCCAGAAAGCCACGGCUAACUACGUGCCAGCAGCCGCGNUAAUACGUAGGUGGCAAGCGUNNUCCNGNAAUUAUUGGGCGUAAAGCGCGCGCAGGCGGUUUCUUAAGUNUGAUGUGAAAGCCCCCGGCUCAACCGGGGAGGGUCAUUGGAAACUGGGGAACUUGAGUGCAGAAGAGGAGAGUGGAAUUCCACGUGUAGCGGUGAAAUGCGUAGAGAUGUGGAGGAACACCAGUGGCGAAGGCGACUCUCUGGUCUGUAACUGACGCUGAGGCGCGAAAGCGUGGGGAGCGAACAGGAUUAGAUACCCUGGUAGUCCACGCCGUAAACGAUGAGUGCUAAGUGUUAGAGGGUUUCCGCCCUUUAGUGCUGCAGCAAACGCAUUAAGCACUCCGCCUGGGGAGUACGGUCGCAAGACUGAAACUCAAAGGAAUUGACGGGGGCCCGCACAAGCGGUGGAGCAUGUGGUUUAAUUCGAAGCAACGCGAAGAACCUUACCAGGUCUUGACAUCCUCUGACAACCCUAGAGAUAGGGCUUCCCCUUCGGGGGCAGAGUGACAGGUGGUGCAUGGUUGUCGUCAGCUCGUGUCGUGAGAUGUUGGGUUAAGUCCCGCAACGAGCGCAACCCUUGAUCUUAGUUGCCAGCAUUCAGUUGGGCACUCUAAGGUGACUGCCGGUGACAAACCGGAGGAAGGUGGGGAUGACGUCAAAUCAUCAUGCCCCUUAUGACCUGGGCUACACACGUGCUACAAUGGGCAGAACAAAGGGCAGCGAAGCCGCGAGGCUAAGCCAAUCCCACAAAUCUGUUCUCAGUUCGGAUCGCAGUCUGCAACUCGAAUGCGUUAAGC